rnacentral:rRNA from 1 species
UACGUAGGGUGCGAGCGUUAAUCGGAAUUACUGGGCGUGAAGCGUGCGCAGGCGGUUGUGUAAGACAGGGGUGAAAUCCCCGGGCUUAACCUGGGAAUUGCAUUUGUGACUGCACAGCUGGAAUCUGGCAGAGGGGGGUAGAAUUCCACGUGUAGCAGUGAAAUGCGUAGAGAUGUGGAGGAAUACCGAUGGCGAAGGCAGCCCCCUGGGCCAAGAUUGACGCUCAUGCACGAAAGCGUGGGGAGCAAACAGG